UACGGAGGAUCCGAGCGUUAUCCGGAUUUAUUGGGUUUAAAGGGUGCUCAGGCGGGCCAUUAAGUCGGCGGUGAAAUUUUGCGGCUCAACCGUAAAAGUGCCUUCGAUACUGGUGGUCUUGAGUGUGGAUGAGGUAGGCGGAAUUUGUGGUGUAGCGGUGAAAUGCAUAGAUAUUACACAGAACACCGAUUGCGAAGGCAGCUUUCUAAGCUGGAUCUGACGCUGAGGCACGAAAGCGUGGGUAGCGAACAGGAUUAGAUACCCU
rnacentral:rRNA from 1 species